GAAACUGUAGCCAUCACCAAACAACAAAUCAAAGGGAAGUGUCUCAGGAGAGAUUUCUAAUUAUCAUACAUUUGUCCUUGCAGCCAAACCAGGAUGCAGUGGAAAUGGUGCCUUUGGCACUAGCAUCUUAGGUCACAAAAUCAUGAGCCAAAUGGGACAGUGGCUGAGUGAGGACACCAAACCUAUUCUUAGGAGGAGAGAGAGAUGAUGGGGGAUGAAGGGUAUGGAAUUGUAUGCUAUGGCUGCCUGCUGUCGAAGUUCUCCAGGUCCAGAGAGGAUUUAAGUUGCUGGAAUAAUCCACCCAGUCUUCGAGAUGUGAUUAUAUAAUUGAUGGUAUGUGGAUAUCACUGAUCACAAAACACAAUAAAGGACCUAAGGCAGGAAUCAGCUGGCUGGAGGAAUUUUGGAAGGGGUGAGGCAUACACUUUCUUCUAUGUUCCUGAAACCACAACAUUGUUAGGACUCAUCUGUUCAUGAGACCAGACCAAUAGAAAAUGAGCACUUCGUGGAUAAAAAAUACAGAUGGAAACUUAGUGAAAUGUGACCUCCAGUGCUGGAGAUGGACCUAAUGGGAAGUGUUUGAGUCAUGAGAGAAUAUCCUUUAUGAAUGGCUUGGUGCCUUCCCUGUGGCCAUGAGUUACUACAAGAUCUGAUUGUUAAAAAAAGAUUCUAGGACUUCCUGUCCCUCUGUCUUACUCCUCUUUUACCAUGUGACAUGCCUGCUUCCCCUUCACCUUCUGUCAUGAUUGUAAGCUUCCUGAGGUUCCCAUCAGAAGCAGAGUAGUUGCUGGUGUCAUGCUUGUACAGCCCAUGGAGCUGUGAACCAAAUAAACUUCUUUUCUUUAUAAAUUACCUAGGUAUUCCAAAGCUGAGACUGAGACUGAAUGCUAAUAGGGGACACAAUUAUGAAUUGAAAAUAGUGCUGCU
rnacentral:lncRNA from 1 species